rnacentral:rRNA from 1 species
UACGUAGGGUGCAAGCGUUGUCCGGAAUUAUUGGGCGUAAAGAGCUCGUAGGCGGCGUGUCGCGUCGGGAGUGAAAGACCGGGGCUUAACCCCGGUUCUGCUUCCGGUACGGGCAUGCUGGAGUGUGGCAGGGGAGACUGGAAUUCCUGGUGUAGCGGUGGAAUGCGCAGAUAUCAGGAGGAACACCGGUGGCGAAGGCGGGUCUCUGGGCCAUUACUGACGCUGAGGAGCGAAAGCUCGGGGAGCAAACAGG